UAUUGGACAAUGGGCGAAAGCCUGAUCCAGCCAUGCCGCGUGAGUGAUGAAGGCCUUAGGGUUGUAAAGCUCUUUUGUCAGGGAAGAUGAUGACGGUACCUGAAGAAUAAGCACCGGCUGACUUCGUGCCAGCAGCCGCGGUAAUACGAAGGGUGCUAGCGUUGUUCGGAAUCACUGGGCGUAAAGCGCGCGUAGGCGGCUUUGCAAGUCAGGGGUGAAAUCCCACAGCUUAACUGUGGAACUGCCCUUGAAACUGCAAAGCUGGAGUGUCGGAGGGGAUGGCGGAAUUGCUAAUGUAGAGGUGAAAUUCGUAGAUAUUAGCAGGAACACCGGGGCGAAGGCGGCCAUCUGACGACAACUGACGCGAGGCGCGAAA
rnacentral:rRNA from 1 species